rnacentral:tRNA from 1 species
GCCUUCGUGGUAUAACGGUAGCACACUUGACGCGUAUUCCAGAGGUCCUGGGUUCGAGUCCCCGAGAGGGCA